rnacentral:rRNA from 1 species
UACGGAGGGUGCAAGCGUUAUCCGGAUUCACUGGGUUUAAAGGGUGCGUAGGUGGGCAGGUAAGUCAGUGGUGAAAUCUCCGGGCUCAACCCGGAAACUGCCAUUGAUACUAUCAGUCUUGAAUAUCGUGGAGGUAAGCGGAAUAUGUCAUGUAGCGGUGAAAUGCUUAGAUAUGACAUAGAACACCAAUUGCGAAGGCAGCUUACUACAGGGAUAUUGACACUGAGGCACGAAAGCGUGGGGAUCAAACAGG